CCUACGGGUGGCAGCAGUAGGGAAUAUUGCUCAAUGGGGGAAACCCUGAAGCAGCAACGCCGCGUGAGGGAUGACGGUUUUCGGAUUGUAAACUUCUUUUGUUAGAGAAGAUUAUGACGGUAUCUAAGGAAUAAGCACCGGCUAACUCCGUGCCAGCAGCAGCGGUAAUACGGAGGGGGCAAGCGUUAUUCGGAUUUACUGGGCGUAAAGGGUGCGUAGGCGGGAUAAUAAGUCAGAUGUGAAAUCCUGUGGCUUAACUCGUGAACUGCAUUUGAAACUGUGAGUCUGGAGUGUAGGAGAGGUAGGUGGAAUUCGUGGUGUAGGGGUGAAAUGCGUAGAGAUCGAGAGGAAUACUCGUUGCGAAGGCGGCCUGCUGGAACAUUACUGACGCUGAUGCACGAAAGCGUGGGUAGCAAACAGGAUUAGAUACCCGAGUAGUC
rnacentral:rRNA from 1 species